rnacentral:rRNA from 1 species
GAGUUUGAUCGUGGCUCAGGAUGAACGCUAGCUACAGGCUUAACACAUGCAAGUCGAGGGGCAGCAUGGUCUUAGCUUGCUAAGACUGAUGGCGACCGGCGCACGGGUGAGUAACACGUAUCCAACCUGCCGUCUACUCUUGGACAGCCUUCUGAAAGGAAGAUUAAUACAAGAUGGCAUCAUGAGUCCGCAUGUUCACAUGAUUAAAGGUAUUCCGGUAGACGAUGGGGAUGCGUUCCAUUAGAUAGUAGGCGGGGUAAACGCCCACCUAGUCUUCGAUGGAUAGGGGUUCUGAGAGGAAGGUCCCCCACAUUGGAACUGAGACACGGUCCAAACUCCUACGGGAGGCAGCAGUGAGGAAUAUUGGUCAAUGGACGCAAGUCUGAACCAGCCAUGCCGCGUGCAGGAUGACGGCUCUAUGAGUUGUAAACUGCUUUUG